GUGAGGUCCCAGGGAAGCUUCAACUACUUCCGGCAAUACAGUAUAGUUCCCAUCAAUAUAAUGAAGGCGGACCUGAAUGUUGUUGCUCCCAACCUGAGAAACUGGCAGCGGAUGUACCAAACCAGCAGUCCGGCGACAAAGAUCCAUCAGAAUAAGAAAAAGGACCUUCACCUCCUCAUAUGUGUAUCCUUGACCAGCAUUUCCAGAACCAAUCCUAGACCGUUUAGAUGGACCUUCUUCAGACCCCUUUGCUCCUGUUCCAACCUGACCGCCUAGCGUUGGUUUUGCACCAGAGUUGGAAUCUUCUGUUUUGCCUGGAAUACCGGACUGAGGUUUUUGCAUUGAAGAAUCAGCAUUCCUUUGAGCAGCCCCCAUAAAACGCGGUAAUUGUGUUCCACGGAAGAAAAAACAGAAAUGCAGAAGUUGACAUAGCCGAUGAAGAAAAUGGCAGUCCCCUAUAAGCCUAACAGCCGGAGUUCCAGGGAAAGUGCCAGUGUUGAUACUUAUCGGCAUAAAUGUAGAAGGACCAGUGAUGGGGUUUGGGGCUGAACUAGGAACACUGUCGGCUGUACUGCUAAUUUUUGCUAUAGCUCCUUGUACCCAAGCUUGCAUCUGA
rnacentral:misc_RNA from 1 species